rnacentral:rRNA from 1 species
CACCGCGGUUAUACGAGGGGCUCAAAUUGAUAUUCUCCGGCGUAAAGAGUGAUUAAAGAAAUUAACUAAACUAAAGCCAAAUACCUCCUAAGCUGUCAUACGCUAAUGAAGAUACGAAGCCCCACAACGAAAGUGGCCUUAUUACACUUGAACUCACGACCAUUAAGAAA